UACGUAGGGCGCAAGCGUUGUCCGGAAUUAUUGGGCGUAAAGAGCUCGUAGGCGGCUUGUCACGUCGGGCGUGAAAGCUUGGGGCUUAACUCCAGGUCUGCAUUCGAUACGGGCUGGCUAGAGGUAGGUAGGGGAGAACGGAAUUCCUGGUGUAGCGGUGAAAUGCGCAGAUAUCAGGAGGAACACCGGUGGCGAAGGCGGAUCUCUGGGCCAUUACUGACGCUGAGGAGCGAAAGCGUGGGGAGCGAACAGG
rnacentral:rRNA from 1 species